UGGGGAAUCUUGGACAAUGGGCGCAAGCCUGAUCCAGCCAUGCCGCGUGGAUGAUGAAGGCCUUAGGGUUGUAAAAUCCUUUCGUUGGGGACGAUAAUGACGGUACCCAAAGAAGAAGCUCCGGCUAACUUCGUGCCAGCAGCCGCGGUAAUACGAAGGGGGCUAGCGUUGUUCGGAUUUACUGGGCGUAAAGCGCGUGUAGGCGGACUUGUAAGUUGGGGGUGAAAUCCCGAGGCUCAACCUCGGAACUGCCUCCAAAACUACAAAUCUGGACCUAAGUAGAGGCAAGUGGAAUUGCGAGUGUAGAGGUGAAAUUCGUAGAUAUUCGCAGGAACACCAGUGGCGAAGGCGACUUGCUGGACUUAUGGUGACGCUGGGACGCGAAAGCGUGGGGAGCAAACAGGAUUAGAUACCCCCGUAGUCCCUGAGCGGGCUGGCAAGGCGCAU
rnacentral:rRNA from 1 species